rnacentral:tRNA from 1 species
GGUGAUUUAGCUCAGUGGCGUAAGCACCUGCCUUGCAAGCAGGCGGUCAUGAGUUCAAUCCUCGGUACUG